UACGUAGGCAGCAAACGUUGUUCGGAGUUACUGGGCGUAAAGAGUACGUAGGCGGUUUGCCAAGUUUGGUGUGAAAUCUCCUGGCUUAACUGGGAGGGUGCGCCGAAUACUGGCGGGCUUGAGUAUUGGAGAGGAAAGCGGAAUUCCUGGUGUAGCGGUGAAAUGCGUAGAUAUCAGGAGGAACACCGGUGGUGUAGACGGCUUUCUGGGCAAUCACUGACGCUGAGGUACGAAAGCGUGGGUAGCAAACAGG
rnacentral:rRNA from 1 species